AUGCUGGCACGGAGUG
rnacentral:miRNA from 1 species